rnacentral:rRNA from 1 species
UACGUAGGGUGCAGCGUUAAUCGGAAUUACUGGGCGUAAAGCGUGCGCAGGCGGUUAUAUAAGACAGUUGUGAAAUCCCCGGGCUCAACCUGGGAACUGGCAUCUGUUGACUGUAUAAGCUAGAGUACGGUAGAGGGGGAUGGAAUUCCGCGUGUAGCAGUGAAAUGCGUAGAUAUGCGGAGGAACACCGAUGGCGAAGGCAAUCCCCUGGCACCUG